rnacentral:sRNA from 1 species
AAAGGAUAAAACGAGUUUGAAAGCUUGACACUUGAUUAUUCAUGAUGCAUUGUUAGUUUUAGU